GAAAGGUCUGAAAAUUCCAAAAAAGGAAAAGUGAAGAGGUCAUGAAGUAGGGGUUUAGAAUUAUAAGUGUGUUUUUCCUAAAUUUACUAUUUUGUUUAACUAUUAGGCUGAUCAAACAAGAAUUGUUGUAACUAUCUGAUUACUCUUUUAGUCUGUUUUCGUAUACAAACGCUACGUGUCAUGUGUAUGAUCUUUUGGUUUUAGGUUACGAUGUUUUGGUCAAUUUGUGUCCUUGAACUUAUUCACAAAUGUAGUAUCAAUUAACUAUUAAAAUUGACUAUAUCUUAUUGNNNN
rnacentral:lncRNA from 1 species